GAGGAAUAUUGGGCAAUGCCCGCAAGGGUGACCCAGCAACGCCGCGUGGAGGAUGAAUGUCGUAAGAUUGUAAACUCCUGUUAGAGGGGAAGAAUAGUACCGGUUGGACCGGUAUAUGACUGUACCCUCAGAGAAAGCCCCGGCUAACUACGUGCCAGCAGCCGCGGUAAUACGUAGGGGGCAAGCGUUGUCCGGAUUUACUGGGUGUAAAGGGCGCGCAGGCGGGAUAAAAAGUCAGUGGUGAAAUCCUACAGCUUAACUGUAGAACUGCCUGUGAUACUGUUAUUCUUGAGUUCGGGAGAGAGAGACGGAAUUCCAGGUGUAGUGGUGAAAUACGUAGAUAUCUGGAAGAACACCAGUUGCGAAGGCGGUCUCUUGGUCCGACACUGACGCUGAGGCGCGAAAGCGUGGGGAGCAAACA
rnacentral:rRNA from 1 species